rnacentral:lncRNA from 1 species
AUCACAAGCUCUUUCUUAAUACUUGCAAUACUCUUCCUCUGUUUUUAUAUCAUUAGGGAGCUCCAGGAAUACCUGGAUUUUCAGGUCCCCCAGGUCUUCCAGGUGAACCAGGAGCUGCUGGCCCUCCUGGACGCUCGGGUGUUCCAGGAUGCAACGGCACAAAGGGCGAUCAAGGUUUUCCAGGUCCUCCAGGUAGAAGAGGUGCUCCAGGCAUUCCAGUAAGUGUCUUUGAAAUUGGUGAUUGUAUGAAUUUCUACCACUUACAGCCACUCAGUGAAGGAGUGUAAAGUCUCAGAUAAGCUGAUAUUGACAACAGGUGAAAUAUAUAAAUAAUCCCAUUUUAUUAGCAUGAAACAGUGCAGUAAAGAGAAAAAAGUUAAAAGUGAUGCUUAAUCUGCUGAGUGUCAGGCCUCAACUUCUUAAGGUGUGAAUGCACACACAUUCAUUGACUGGUGUUUGCUCUUCAGUG